CCUACGUGUGGCAGCAGUGAGGAAUAUUGGUCAAUGGGCGCGAGCCUGAACCAGCCAAGUCGCGUGAAGGAUGACUGCCCUACGGGUUGUAAACUUCUUUUAUAAAGGAAUAAAGUGAGGCACGUGUGCCUUUUUGUAUGUACUUUAUGAAUAAGGAUCGGCUAACUCCGUGCCAGCAGCCGCGUUAAUACGGAGGAUCCGAGCGUUAUCCGGAUUUAUUGGGUUUAAAGGGAGCGUAGAGGGGUUGUUAAGUCAGUGGGGAAAGUUUGCGGCUCAACCGUAAAAUUGCAAUUGAGACUGGCAGCCUUGAGUACAGUUGAGGGAGGCGGAAUUCGUGGUGUAGCGGUGAAAUGCUUAGAUAUCACGAAGAACUCCGAUUGCGAAGGCAGCUUACGAAACUGCCACUGACAUUGAUGCUCGAAAGUGUGGGUAUCAAACAGGAUUAGAUACCCUUGUAGUC
rnacentral:rRNA from 1 species